rnacentral:miRNA from 1 species
UUACCAGUGUGCACAUUUAAC